rnacentral:lncRNA from 1 species
GCCAAAUCCGAAGAUAUUAAUUUAGAGAGCAUAGCUGUUGAUAUUGUAACACUCCAGGUUUCACAAACAACCCGGUAUGCUACUGUACUACACUUCCGACGUCCAUAUAUAAAAUUUCGGCAGCAUCCCCUUUGCAAGAUUGCAUAAAAGAGGGAGCAACAGAGUAUAAACAUAUAUCAUGACUAAAACAUACUAAGUAUUAUUACUCGGCUAGCAAGGAAAGAUAAACAUACGACCUGAACUGAAUUAACUAGUGCGCACGACCAUAUAAAAAAAAUAAACAAACUUCCUUUGACAAUAAGUUUCUAAUUAAAUCAUGGUUGCGCCUGGGCAGCGUUAUUGUGAGAGUGAAAGUGGACGUGCUGCUACUCCCCACAUUCCCAACAUGUAUCAAGUACCUGCAUUGAGUAAUGCAAGAGUGAGAUGACACAUCUCAGCAAGUAAAAUAAUAUCAAACAGUUUAACCACAUAAGAACAUUGUUUUACCACCACUUAAUUCCACAACCUUCUUAUUACGAAGGUCCAGCACGUAUACAACGUACAACGCACCUAGUUACCACACCUCACAGGUAGAAACCACAAUAGUAACAUAGUAAUGUCACACUUCAUAUAUUCCUCAUGAGUGCAAAUGUCUGCAAAUGCAAGGAUGACUUCUGCCUUCAUACCUCUAAGGAUAUGCAGCCGCAUCGUACCCCUCCUCGGGCAACGUACGAUGCUAAAAAUGUACCGGUACGGUCGGACCAUAAGAUCACGACAUAACUUCAAAAUGCAAGAUGGAUGAUGCGAUGUGCAUGUCAUGCCUACAACACUUCAUAUAACAUGAUUCAAAAAGACACUUCAACUUCAUCCAGAUGGGAAUCAACCACAUAUAUCAUUACCAAAUUAUGAUCAUCCACAAUAUUAGACAAUUGAGAAUUAAUACUUCCAAACAAAUAAACUUCAUCAUAGAAUUCAAUGAUUAACAUAAUUAAAAAUUAUGCAUACUCAAUGACAGGGACUAGGAUGCAAACCAAACGGUAGCAACCACCACUGUAUUUACUUGCCUUUACCGGAAGUUCGGGCAAAUCCCUAAGUACGAUCCGGAAGUCUACCACCUGUUUUUGACACCCAACUUAGUACACCAAUUUCACAUAAUCAGGCUCAUAAGCGACGCCGCACCUACGCACAAACUCAAACCCCGCCGCGGGUUACAUCUCUACCUACACCCACCAAACUGCAGCGGCGCUGCUUAAUAAUUUCAUAACUUUAAAAUUAUGGCAGCAGUGGUAACAAACAAAAACUCCAGAGGCAUCUACAUAAAAUUCUCCACAAGUUUUGUAUACAAUUUAUAAUUAAAUUCCAAUAUCUAAUUAGCCCAAAACAGUCCACAAGAUGAACCCUGUAAUCUGUUUUUCUUUGUCUUUUGGACAGCGACAUACCCAGAUUCAAACAGCGAUAUCUUUUAAAAUAUAAUUCCAAAUCAAGCGCAUAAGUACUCAUUGGAAAGAUAAGACAAAUCCCUACAUGAUUACCAUACUGGUUAACACUAAUUACCCACGAAAAAUUCCCAGAAACUGCUAAUACCACUGCUGUUCACCCACCUGAAAAAUCUGUUUUUUUGGACAGCAACAUAACCGGAUUCAAACAACGAUAUCUCCUGAAUUUUAACUCCGAAUCAAGCGCAUAAGUACUUGUUGGAAAGAUAACAUAAAGCCCUACAUGAUUCUCAUACUGAUUAACACUAAUUAUCCAAGAAAAAUUCCCGGAAACUGCUAAUACUGCUGCUGUUCAUCCCCCUGAAAAAUCUGUUUUUUUUGACAGCCACAUACCCGGAUUCAAACGGUGAUAACUUUCAAUUUAUAACUCCAAAUUGAGCGCAUAAAUACUCGUUGGAAAGGUAAGGUAAAGUUCUACAUGAUACCCAAACUGAUUUCCCUUAAUUCCUCACGAAAAAAACACAGAAACUGCUAGACUACUGCUGUUCACCCACCACCUAAAAUUCUGGACAGCCCCCCUCUACCCCAAUCGCAAACGCAACCUCUAAUCAAUUAAAUUGCAGCGCAAAUGAACAAGGGAUGAACACAAAAAUCACCUUGGAUUCUCCCCAUUUCCUUCCUCCCUUCUUCCCUCCACCAAAACGAUUGAAGACUCGCACCACGAAGACGAUGAUCCGAGCGGCAAGGAUUGGCACCUUGGGAGGAGGGGAUUGAGAGGGGGGGCGGCUAGGGUUUGGUGGCUGCAAGAAUUGAGAGAGGAGGAGAUGGGCAGGGGGGCGGCGGCCAAGGGGGAAGAGAAG